rnacentral:misc_RNA from 1 species
GGCUUUUCUACUAACAUAUAGGAAUUUUUGAAGGAAGGAAAGCCAGAAAUACCCAAUAUCUUGUUCCAGCAAGAUAUUGGGUAUUUCGUAUUUGUUUGUUUUUUUUUAUUUUGAAUCUUUCUAUUCUGAAUUCAGUUAACGACGAGAUUUAGUAUCUUUUCUUGCACUUUCAUAACUCGUGAAAUGCCGAGUAGGCACGAAUUCCCCCAAUUUGCGACCUACCAUAGGAUUUGUUAUGUAAAUAGGUAUAUGUUCCUUUCCAUUAUGAAUCGCGAUUGUAUGGCCAACCAUUGCGGGUAGAAUGCUAGAUGCCCGGGACCACGUUACUAUUGUUUCUUUCUCCUCCUUCAUAUUGACCUUUUCGAUUUUUGCCAAUAAAUGAUGAGCUACAAAAGGAUUCGUUUUUUUUCGUGUCACAGCUGAUUACUCCUUUUUCCAUUUUAAAGAGUGGCAUUCUAUGUCCAAUAUCUCGAUCGAAGUAUGGAGGUCAGAAUA